rnacentral:rRNA from 1 species
UACGUAGGGGCCUAGCGUUGUCCGGAAUUAUUGGGCGUAAAGAGCUCGUAGGCGGUUCGGCAAGUCGGAUGUGAAUCUCCACGCUUAACGUGGAGGGCCAUUCGAAACUGCUGUGACUCGAGUCCGGUAGGGAGUGUGGAAUUCCGGUGUAGCGGUGAAAUGCGCAGAUAUCGGAGGAACGACCAGUAGCGAAGGCGGACACGU